GUAGCUAGCAAGCUAUAGUUUAAACUGACAGAUGUUCCACAGUGAAAUAAAGUUGUUAGCUAGCAAGUUAGCUAUGUUAGCUAAUGUUAACUACUUUAUUUCAGUGUGGAAUAUUUUAGCUAACGUUAGCUAGGUUAGCUAAUGUUAACUACUUUAUUUCAGUGGGGAAUAAUUUAGCUAACGUUAGCUAGGUUAGCUAAUGUCAACUACUUUAUUUUGGUGGGGAAUGUUUUAGGUAAUGUUAGCUAGGUUAGCCAAUUUUAAUUACUUUAUUUUAAUGGGGAAUGUUUUAGCUAACAUUAGCAAAUUUCAAUUACAUUAUUUCAGUGGGGAAUGUUUUAGCUAACUUUAGCUAGGUUAGGUAACUUAAUGUUAACUAUUUUAUUUCAAUGGGGAAUAAUUUAGCUAACAUUAGCUAGGUUAGCUAAUGUUAACUACCUUAUUACAGUGGGCAAUGUUUUAGCUAGGUUAGCUAAAAAUGUUAAAAAACUUUAUUCCAGUGGGGAAUGUUUUCACUAGGUUAGCUAAUGUUAACUACUUUAUUCCAGUGGGGAAUGUUUUAACUAGGUUAGCUAAUGUUAACUACUUUAUUCCAGUGGGGAAUGUUUUAACUAGGUUAGCUAAUGUUAACUACUUUAUUUUAGUGGGCAAUGUUUUAGCUAGGUUAGCUAAAAAAUGUUAACUACUUUAUUUCAGUGGGGAAUGUUUUCGCUAGGUUAGCUAGGUAAGCUAAGCUUAACUACUUAAUUUCAGUGGGGAAUGUUUUAGCUAGGUAGCUAAAGGUAGCUUUAAGCCCAAAGCUAACGAUAGCCAGCUAACUCUCAUUAGACGUGCACAAAGCAGGAGAUAUCAUAUUGUAGAAAAAAGCUUUUGGGCACAUGCACACAGACACCAAACACAACGGCUACUUCCACCCAAGCCUACCAUAUAUUGUACAGAGAGCUAUGCAAGCCUUUGAGCUAAGCUAACUUAGCUAGCGUUAGGUUAGCUAGACAUAACUUUGCAAACGCAGCCUACAUUAGAUCACAAAUAGCUAACUAAAUAAAUAUGAUUUUGAUAACUGGACUCACCACUUAAUAUGUGGUGCUCACUACUUAAAAGAUUUUAAUGCUGCCCUUUAAGGUCAAACUGCAUUAACUAUUUUUGGAAUAGUUGAAUAAAGAGUGUUUGAUACGUGAAUUUGAUAUCCUGUUGGCCCCAAACUCUGCUGUUUCUUUUUUUAAGGAAUAUCACACAUAACCACAUAACCAAAGUAGGGCUAGAAAAUAAAUCAGUUCUAAAACCUAAAAACUGUUACAUCAUAAUCUUGUUUUUUUUCUUGAAUAAAUGUAUUUAUUGGUUAUGCUAUAGGAGUUUAAAUAAUAAUAAUAAACAUACGAAUUUGAGUUGUUCUGGCUGUGGUUGUAGUAGGCGCAGGUGUCGUUUCGACAGGCGCAGGUGUAGUUGGGACAGGUGCUGCUGUAGUUUGGACAGGCGCAGGUGUAGUUUGGACAGGCACAGGUGUAGUUUGGACAGGUGCAGGUGUAGUUUGGACAGGCGCAGGUGUAGUUUGGACAGGUGCUGCUGUAGUUUGGACAGGCGCAGGUGUAGUUUGGACAGGUGCAGGUGUAGUUUGAACAGGUGCAGGUGUAGUUUCGAGAGGCGCAGCUGUAGUUUGGGCAGG